CAGAGUCCUCAGGAGUUAGCCGAUAAGAAAGCUUACAUGAUUUUCAAAGCUGAAAAUAUUUUUAAAGCAGUAAAUGCAUAAGUAAAGCACUUAAGUAACUUCUUCUGUCCCCCCGGGAAGCCGCUUGCAUGGGAGAAGAAGUUAAAAAGACGGGACCAGGAGAAAGAGAAGCUGUUGGCAAAGGUUCGUGCCUCUGGCAGAGAGGUCCCAGGCUGAAGAAGAAAGCUGAGGGGGCAUUUGCCUGCUGCAGAAGCUCUUUGUGCUGCCUCAGCUGCUACAGUGCCAGUGCACGACCUGCAGCCUUCCUGGUGUUCAGACUCCACCCUGCAUGCUUCCUGCAGGGCUCACUCCCCUUCCCGGGAUAAGCACUGCGAGACGAUGGCUGGUGAGGCAGGGGACAGGGACUCUUGCUGCCCUGUGCCAGGGCAUGUUGAUGCAUCCCCUUAUUUCCCUUCAGGGUCAGGAUUAGUAUUCAUGACUUCAGGAGGGGUGUGAAGCCCCAGCUAUGCUCAUGGCCUCCAGCCAUGCUACAUGAGCCUGGAUAUGGAGCAGCCCUGCCCAAAAGGCUGAUGCAGCCUAGGGAUGUGCUCCACAUGUGCUCCUACAGUAUGCCUGUAGGGACACAGGGAUGCUCUUAGGGAGGGGAGACACUGGAGAGACCACCUCCUCCUCACCCUGUGUGAACAAUGCAUCCACAGCCCCUCCUCUACCUGCCCAACUCCACCUCUGGCUUGGGUUCUUUUCCUCAGGAGCAGCCCCUACUGCAGACACAAGCUUGCUGAGCUCUAUUCUUGGGGGACAGACUCAAGGAGACCAUGAGUAUCUGAGAGGCAAUGUCUGUCCUACCACCGGAGCAGGGCAAGGAGACUCAGCUGGAUGAGAAAUGGAUGCUUCCAAGACCAGGCAAGAGCUGGACCUGCUGACAAAAGCUCUAAUUCCCCUUCAGUUAUCUAGAAACCACCUCAGAGCAUCUGAGUAAGCAUCUGCCAGCAUCCAGAGCAAAGAAGCACUUCAUAGCUCACAGAUUACACAGAACACAGGAACAUAAGGGGAACAUAGUCUUUGUUUCUGCUGGGAAAAAAAUCAAGCCAGCAAAGACUUUCUUCAGUUUUGAUGGUCAUUUUCUGAGGGUAGCUAUGUCCCUACCUGCAGCUGAUGUUGGAGACACUGAAAUAUAAGAAAGCAAAGAUAAAAUUCACUCUUAAAAAUUAGUCAGCUACUCCAUUCCCUGAUCUUCAUGUCAUCCGUCAUUGUGCUUUGUGCAGUCUUACACUGAUCAAGCAAUUUCCUUUUUUUUUUUUGCUAAGAUGAACAUUCUUGCUGUGACUGAUACUUGUUCUGGUAGUUGGAAGAUAUGAGUGUAAACCAGAGCACUAUUAUGCUGCACUGGGAAUGUAGAUUUCAUGAGUGAGUGGGCUUUGGCUUCAAAUGUGCUUAUAAGCAAGGCAGGUUUUGAUUUAGUCAGGAUCAGUAUUAUAUACUGAAGUAUUUACUCAGUAGGAUCUUCUUGAAAGAAAGAAAAAUUUUUAAUAUUACAAAACUCUGUGUGUCGAUGACUCAGCUCCCAGUGAUUCAUACUCUACACUCAUAUUUCAUUUAGUUUUCACAUCCUGAGGAUCUGGGUCUUGAGAUGACACUUUUACAUGGCUGGAAGAUUUAUCACAAUGCAGGACAAAGAUAAGCCCAUUUGUUUUUUGCCUUGGCUUGCCAAAAUCCACUCCCUCCUGCUCAGUACUUAGCUAUGUGAAACUUGGUGAUAAGAAGCUCCACCCCUGAUUUUGUGGCUUGU